AUGGCUUUAUUGGGACACCAUUGUGCGCUGGGAUCUUGGGGGGCUGCCAACUUGGCGAAGGAGCUCCUGACAAGCUGCUUUUCCAUGAGCUACGGGAAGCUCUCGCUCCGAGUUUCAGCUCCUGACACUGCGAGUCUGAACCCGGGUCUGGGAUCGUGGCGGGGAUCUCCCAGGAGGCCCCGAGCUUGGGGGGGCAGGGCUGGGGUCUCCCCCUUCCUCCUGGGCAGUGCAGGCGUGGGGCGACGCACUGCUCCCCAAGUCGGCGGCAGCCAUCCCGUCAGGCUUAGUGGGGCUGGUGCUUCCCUGGGGCCAGAAAGAUGCCAGACUGUCUGCACUGGCAUGUGGGCUUUCUGUGGCUCUGGGUUGUUUUUUCUCCCUUAAUUCAGAUCUGCUCGGGGGUUGCCGACAGCGUGUGUCAGUGAGUUAGGUCCUGGCUCCUGGCUUCAGAUCUGAAGGACCUUUGGAGAAG
rnacentral:lncRNA from 1 species